AGUGAACGCUGGCGGUAGGCCUAACACAUGCAAGUCGAACGGCAGCACAGUAAGAGCUUGCUCUUACGGGUGGCGAGUGGCGGACGGGUGAGGAAUACAUCGGAAUCUACUUUUUCGUGGGGGAUAACGUAGGGAAACUUACGCUAAUACCGUAUACGACCUACGGGUGAAAGCAGGGGAUCUUCGGACCUUGCGCGAUUGAAUGAGCCGAUGUCGGAUUAGCUAGUUGGCGGGGUAAAGGCCCACCAAGGCGACGAUCCGUAGCUGGUCUGAGAGGAUGAUCAGCCACACUGGAACUGAGACACGGUCCAGACUCCUACGGGAGGCAGCAGUGGGGAAUAUUGGACAAUGGGCGCAAGCCUGAUCCAGCCAUACCGCGUGGGUGAAGAAGGCCUUCGGGUUGUAAAGCCCUUUUGUUGGGAAAGAAAAGCAGCAGGUUAAUACCCCGCUGUUCUGACGGGACCCAAAGAAUAAGCACCGGCUAACUUCGU
rnacentral:rRNA from 1 species